AGUGAACGCUGGCGGCGUGCUUAACACAUGCAAGUCGAACGAGAACGGAUUAUAGCUUGCUAUAAUUGUCAGCUAAGUGGCGCACGGGCGAGUAAUGUAUAGGUAAUAUGCCUCUUACUAAGGGAUAACAAAUGGAAACGUUUGCUAAUACCUUAUACUCCUUAUUAACAGAAGUUAAUAAGGGAAAGAUUUAUUGGUAAGAGAUUAGCCUGUAUUGUAUCAGUUAGUUGGUGGGGUAAUGGCUUACCAAGACUAUGACACAUAACUGGUUUGAGAGGAUGAUCAGUCACACUGGAACUGAGACACGGUCCAGACUCCUACGGGAGGCAGCAGUGGGGAAUAUUGCACAAUGGACGAAAGUCUGAUGCAGCAACGCCGCGUGGAGGAUGACACAUUUCUGUGCGUAAACUCCUUUUAUAUGAGAAGAUAAUGACGGUAUUAUAUGAAUAAGCACCGGCUAACUCCGUGCCAGCAGCCGCCGUAA
rnacentral:rRNA from 1 species